UGAGCCAAGCCAUGAUUGGUCCAUUUCUUGCUCUGACCUCACAAUGACAGAACCCUGUUGCCUAACAACUCUGGCUGAGGCUGCCUCCUCUCCUUCCAGUACAGAGGCUGAUCGUCAGUUGAAACUUGGUGAUUUAGACAGAAGUGAGCUGGUUCCACUUGGUGGAUAUUCAUGAACUGUUGAAUCUGAACACUGGCCCGACGGUCAACACCUCACUGCAUAGGCUGAGGCCUAGCGGGAUUUCUGGUCGCGCCGGGACCAGCUUGGCCACAGCCACCAAAUCGAGAACCUGGCCAUGGAGCAGGGCAGAGAGACCCUCUACUGUGACGAGAAGACAUUUACCAGUGUAUAUCAAAUGAUGACCACACUGGGACGAGGAACCUUUGCCACAGUCAAACUGGCCUUCCAUAUGCCCACUGUCAGCUAC